rnacentral:rRNA from 1 species
UACGGAGGGUGCAAGCGUUAUCCGGAUUUACUGGGUUUAAAGGGUGCGUAGGUGGAUUGGUAAGUCAGUGGUGAAAUCUCCGAGCUUAACUCGGAAACUGCCAUUGAUACUAUCAGUCUUGAAUUAUCUGGAGGUGAGCGGAAUAUGUCAUGUAGCGGUGAAAUGCUUAGAUAUGACAUAGAACACCAAUUGCGAAGGCAGCUCACUACGGAUAUAUUGACACUGAGGCACGAAAGCGUGGGGAUCAAACAGG